rnacentral:rRNA from 1 species
ACCGGAUAUGAACUCCUGCCGCAUGGUGGGGGUUGGAAAGUUUUUCGGUGCAGGAUGAGCCCGCGGCCUAUCAGCUUGUUGGUGGGGUAAUGGCCUACCAAGGCGACGACGGGUAGCCGGCCUGAGAGGGUGAUCGGCCACACUGGGACUGAGACACGGCCCAGACUCCUACGGGAGGCAGCAGUGGGGAAUAUUGCACAAUGGGCGAAAGCCUGAUGCAGCGACGCCGCGUGGGGGAUGACGGUCUUCGGAUUGUAAACCCCUUUCAGUAGGGACGAAGCGCAAGUGACGGUACCUGCAGAAGAAGCACCGGCUAACUACGUGCCAGCAGCCGCGGUAAUACGUAGGGUGCGAGCGUUGUCCGGAAUUACUGGGCGUAAAGAGCUCGUAGGCGGUUUGUCACGUCGUCUGUGAAAUCCCUCGGCUUAACCGGGGGCGUGCAGGCGAUACGGGCAGACUUGAGUACUACAGGGGAGACUGGAAUUCCUGGUGUAGCGGUGAAAUGCGCAGAUAUCAGGAGGAACACCGGUGGCGAAGGCGGGUCUCUGGGUAGUAACUGACGCUGAGGAGCGAAAGCAUGGGUAGCGAACAGGAUUAGAUACCCUGGUAGUCCAUGCCGUAAACGGUGGGCGCUAGGUGUGGGGUCCUUCCACGGACUCCGUGCCGUAGCUAACGCAUUAAGCGCCCCGCCUGGGGAGUACGGCCGCAAGGCUAAUACUCAGAGGAAUUGACGGGGGCCCGCACAAGCGGCGGAGCAUGUGGAUUAAUUCGAUGCAACGCGAAGAACCUUACCUAGGCUUGACAUAUACAGGACGACGGCAGAGAUGUCGUUUCCCUUGUGGCUUGUAUACAGGUGGUGCAUG